rnacentral:rRNA from 1 species
CGUACACUCCUGCGGGAGGCAGCAGUGGGGAAUAUUGCACAAUGGGCGCAAGCCUGAUGCAGCCAUGCCGCGUGUAUGAAGAAGGCCUUCGGGUUGUAAAGUACUUUCAGCGGGGAGGAAGGCAAUACGGUUAAUAACCGUGUUGAUUGACGUUACCCGCAGAAGAAGCACCGGCUAACUCCGUGCCAGCAGCCGCGGUAAUACGGAGGGUGCAAGCGUUAAUAGGAAUUACUGGGCGUAAAGCGCACGCAGGCGGUCUGUCAAGUCGGAUGUGAAAUCCCCGGGCUCAACCUGGGAACUGCAUUCGAAACUGGCAGGCUUGAGUCUUGUAGAGGGGGGUAGAAUUCCAGGUGUAGCGGUGAAAUGCGUAGAGAUCUGGAGGAAUACCGGUGGCGAAGGCGGCCCCCUGGACAAAGACUGACGCUCAGGUGCGAAAGCGUGGGGAGCAAACAGGAUUAGAAACCCGAGUAGUCCC